UACGUAGGGAGCAAGCGUUGUCCGGAAUCAUUGGGCGUAAAGCGCGCGUAGGCGGCUCGAUCAGUCUGUUGUGAAAGUCAAAGGCUCAACCUUUGAAUGCCGAUGGAUACUGUCGAGCUAGAGUCCGGAAGAGGCGGGUGGAAUUCCUGGUGUAGCGGUGGAAUGCGCAGAUAUCAGGAGGAACACCUGCGGCGAAGGCGGGUUGCUGGGCUGAUACUGACGCUGACAGCGCGAAAGCUAGGGGAGCGAACGGG
rnacentral:rRNA from 1 species